GCAUAGACACGGUUUCAGACCCAAACCAAGAAGACAAACAGCUCAACAACCACGGGGCUGGAGGAUACCGCGAUCACGAAUUGCCACGCGCCAGUGCGGAACCUACCCUCUUCUUGUCACGCGGGGAAGCUGUGUCACACCUCCUCAUCCACGCCGGCAUUAAGGAAAGUAACUCCAGGCUGCAUAAAAGCAGCAGAUAAACUGACUUGGCCCUCAGGCCUUAGUUUGUCAGCUCCCACAACCCUGCCCUAAAACAAAACAGGAUUGGCACCCCUUAGGUGGGCAGGAGGGCUGGAGCACCCAGGAGGAAUAAGAUGAAGGAGACCUUGCUGGAGCCUUCCCACUAUUGCUCUUGUAGUUCUUUGCCUCGGUGCAAACGCUGGGAAUUCUUCAACAUGCUAUGCAAACUUGAAGAAGGAGCUCCUACUAUGUGCCCAGAAUGCAAACAACAGGACAACUCAGAUGGCCGCUUCAUUAGUUCAACCUUCUCUAACCUUUUUGAUGCAGAAGCAUACUAACAAGAAAAUGCUAGGAAAUUUAUUCAAGAAUAAAAGAGAAAAAGCUGGG